rnacentral:rRNA from 1 species
GACGAACGCUGGCGGCGUGCUUAACACAUGCAAGUCGAACGGAAAGGCCCUGCUUGCAGGGUACUCGAGUGGCGAACGGGUGAGUAACACGUGGGUGAUCUGCCCUGCACUUCGGGAUAAGCUUGGGAAACUGGGUCUAAUACCGGAUAGGAGCCAUCUUUAGUGUGGUGGUUGGAAAGUUUUUUCGGUGUAGGAUGAGCUCGCGGCCUAUCAGCUUGUUGGUGGGGUAAUGGCCUACCAAGGCGGCGACGGGUAGCCGGCCUGAGAGGGUGUACGGCCACAUUGGGACUGAGAUACGGCCCAGACUCCUACGGGAGGCAGCAGUGGGGAAUAUUGCACAAUGGGCGCAAGCCUGAUGCAGCGACGCCGCGUGGGGGAUGAAGGCCUUCGGGUUGUAUACUCCUUUCGCUAGGGACGAAGCUUUGUUGUGACGGUACCUAGAUAAGAAGCACCGGCUAACUACGUG